GAAAGAUUUGGUAGAAUUUAUGGAAUAUGUGGAUGAAGAAAUGAACGAACGGGCCCCUAAAAGUUUAGGGCUGCUCACUGUCAGCAUUUCUGAGUUCCAUGUUAUGCGUGCCUGCGACACCAGUAGCAUUCUCAAUCGAGAACCCGAGCUGGUUAGUCGGAGUGAAAGCGUAAACGCAAGCCCACCCGCUGCGAGAUCCGAAACCCACACACCAAGCAGCCACCACGUGCAUUUUCUUUUUUUUUUUAAAUCCACGUGCUAUUCUGAAAGUGCAACCAGAAUGGCGCCUAAAACCAGCAUGGAAAGGUUGCAGGAGGAGAACGAGGAGCUCCGGAAGGAUAUACGCAGAUUAGAGGCCAAUCUCAGGCAACUAACCGCGAUGCUGGCCGGCAGACUUGAGCCCCCAAAACCGGCUAAGAAACCUGACAGUUUUAGUGCGGCUGUCAAGGGGACACCGAAAACCUCGGCGCCCCGCAAGACAGCGGCACCUAAAACGGUCCAGGUUGCCCCCCAAAAAGCCAGCACCUCACAGUCCCCCACCAGCCACCGCAGGCCCGUCCAGCGCCCUUCCUGCUCAAGAGAGCAGAAAAAGGCGCAGAGACGAAAGCGAGGGUGCGGAGGAAACCAUCAUAAUUGAGGUAACGGGGAUGGAGACCGACUCCCCAGUCCCUGAAAGGGUGGAAAAAAUUCCACCCAUCAACAUACAGGGA
rnacentral:lncRNA from 1 species